AACUCAGAAAAAAAAAUCAAAAAGAGUAUAUCAACAGGUUCAUACAUGACCUGACAACACCGGAAAAUUCAAAGGAUUUUCGACAACAAGUUCAAACGUGAUCUAACAAUACUUGAAUAUUCAAGGAAUUUUCAACAACUGGUUCAAACAUGACCUGACAAUGUUAGGGGAUAUCAAAAAGGUUCCAUAAACAGGUUCAAACAUGACCUAACAGCAUUG
rnacentral:lncRNA from 1 species